GGUAAAGGCCUACCAAGGCGACGAUCUGUAGCGGGUCUGAGAGGAUGAUCCGCCACACUGGGACUGAGACACGGCCCAGACUCCUACGGGAGGCAGCAGUGGGGAAUAUUGGACAAUGGGGGGAACCCUGAUCCAGCCAUGCCGCGUGUGUGAAGAAGGCCUUUUGGUUGUAAAGCACUUUAAGCGAGGAGGAGGCGCUCUAGGAUAAUACCCUAGAUGCGUGGACGUUACUCGCAGAAUAAGCACCGGCUAACUCUGUGCCAGCAGCCGCGGUAAUACAGAGGGUGCGAGCGUUAAUCGGAUUUACUGGGCGUAAAGCGCGCGUAGGUGGCUAAUUAAGUCAAAUGUGAAAUCCCCGAGCUUAACUUGGGAAUUGCAUUCGAUACUGGUUAGCUAGAGUAUGGGAGAGGAUGGUAGAAUUCCAGGUGUAGCGGUGAAAUGCGUAGAGAUCUGGAGGAAUACCGAUGGCGAAGGCAGCC
rnacentral:rRNA from 1 species